AGUGAACGCUGGCGGUAGGCCUAACACAUGCAAGUCGAACGGCAGCACAGUAAGAGCUUGCUCUUACGGGUGGCGGGUGGCGGACGGGUGAGGAAUACAUCGGAAUCUACUUUUUCGUGGGGGAUAACGUAGGGAAACUUACGCUAAUACCGCAUACGACCUACGGGUGAAAGCAGGGGAUCUUCGGACCUUGCGCGAUUGAAUGAGCCGAUGUCGGAUUAGCUAGUUGGCGGGGUAAAGGCCCACCAAGGCGACGAUCCGUAGCUGGUCUGAGAGGAUGAUCAGCCACACUGGAACUGAGAAACGGUCCAGACUCCUAAGGGAGGCAGCAGUGGGGAAUAUUGGACAAUGGGCGCAAGCCUGAUCCAGCCAUACCGCGUGGGUGAAGAAGGCCUUCGGGUUGUAAAGCCCUUUUGUUGGGAAAGAAAAGCAGCAGGUUAAUACCCCGCUGUUCUGACGGUACCCAAAGAAUAAGCACCGGCUAACUUCGUG
rnacentral:rRNA from 1 species